rnacentral:rRNA from 1 species
AUGAUCUUGCAUGUGCGUAGGAAUUUUUUUGAAAUUACUACGUUCCCCAACACGGCCAUGAUGAAGGGCGCCGCUCGGCUAUGGAGACUGGUUCUUGAGGUGCAUCUGGUGGACUCCAAGGGCCUCUUCGGCAGCGAUUUCCUAGGGAAGAUAGACCCGUAUGUGAUCGUGCAGUACCGGAGCCAGGAGCGCAAGAGCAGCACCUCCCGAGGUCGGUGCCUCCGCAGCACCUCCCGAGAUGAGGGGAGGAACCCGAGCUGGAAUGAGGUGUUCCGGUUCCAGAUCAACUCCUCCGCCGCCAACGGGCAGCACAAGCUCUUCCUCCGGAUCAUGGACCACGACAACUUCUCCAGCGACGACUUCCUCGGCCAGGCAACGAUCAAUGUGUCUGAUCUGAUCACCCUUGGCAUGGAGAGCGGCUCGUCGCAGCAGAACCCGGCCACCGGCCACCGCCCGGAAGCUGGUGUCGUGGUCGAGCUGGGCGGAGUGGUGCUUCGUCUGCGACGCCAUCUUCUCCCCAUACCCCGACCCUGGCGCUGCUCUUCGCAGGACCGCGGCGUGUCGGAGAAGGGGCUGCCUCCCGAUCCCCGUGGAGGUCACUGCGGCCCUCUUCGAGAUAAGGCUGCGGGAUCCCUUCUUCCGGACUGGAGUGGCUUCAGAUGA